rnacentral:misc_RNA from 1 species
GUGAGUCAUCGAAUCUUUGAACGCACAUUGCGCCCGCCAGUAUUCUGGCGGGCAUGCCUGUUCGAGCGUCAUUACAACCCUCAAGCGCCCCUGGAAACGGGAAUCGGGCUUGGUGUUGGGGACCGGCCACGGGUGCCCUGCUGCUUCUGUAGCAGGCGCCUGGCCGCCCCCGAAAUGAAUUGGCGGCCUCGUCGCGGCCUCCCUCUGCGUAGUAGUAUAAACCUCGCAGCUGGAGCGCGGCGCGGCCACUGCCGUAAAACGCACCAAACUUUUUACAGUUGACCUCGAAUCAGGUAGGAAUACCCGCUGAACUUAAGCAUAUCAAUAAGCGGAGGA